UCUCUUCGAUAGAAAAAAAAGAUGGGAGAACAAAGAAAGUUUUAAAAUAUGAGAAAAUUCUUUCCUGGAACUAUUGUAAUCAGAUUUGGUUGCGUUCAGCUUUGAAGAUUUUGAUUUAAAAACUUUUUGACGAUAGACUGAAAAGAAAUCAUGGCACAAUAUAAUUUUUAAAAAGCUUAAUUAGGAAAACGCGGGAAACUCGAAAACUUGAAACUGUUAAACCGACACCAAAAACUGUUUCAAAAUUAAUUUAAAUACAAAAAUGAAUAUGAAUCCUGUCUCCAAGACAAAUUCGUGGUCCACCUCAAUCGAUAAACUUAUGCUAUGGAGAGGAAGUUGGACAAAAUACGAUUCUAAAGUAUCGAACCCGCUCUUGCGUAUACACUACGAUCAACUUUUAGUUACAGCUGAAACCAAGAUAUUAGAAUCGUUUAAUAUGCACAAUAAAAUAAAAGGGAUUUAUAAAGAAGAUAUACUGAUCUUAAUUGUUAGCCAUUCUAGUAAAGAAAUAAGGAAAAUAAAGUUUCAAAUAAAAUAUGACGCGCCACAAUGCCUUCAGAGACUAAGCAAACAUUUUCCUGUGAUACACUACAAUCAUCAGGCGAAUCACAAUAUCGAUGUUAAAUACCGAAACGUUGAUGAAGUCCUAAAAUUAGCAUUAGAAAAUA
rnacentral:lncRNA from 1 species